rnacentral:rRNA from 1 species
AUUGAACGCUGGCGGCAUGCUUUACACAUGCAAGUCGAACGGCAGCGCGGGCUUCGGCCUGGCGGCGAGUGGCGAACGGGUGAGUAAUACAUCGGAACGUGCCCAGUAGUGGGGGAUAGCUCGGCGAAAGCCGGAUUAAUACCGCAUACGACCUGAGGGUGAAAGCGGGGGAUCUUCGGACCUCGCGCUAUUGGAGCGGCCGAUGGCAGAUUAGCUAGUUGGUGGGGUAAAGGCCUACCAAGGCGACGAUCUGUAGCUGGUCUGAGAGGACGACCAGCCACACCGGGACUGAGACACGGCCCAGACUCCUACGGGAGGCAGUAGUGGGGAAUUUUGGACAAUGGGCGAAAGCCUGAUCCAGCAAUGCCGCGUGCGUGAUGAAGGCCUUCGGGUUGUAAAGCACUUUUGGCGGGAACGAAAAGGACUGUGCCAAUACCACGGUUCGAUGACGGUACCCGCAGAAUAAGCACCGGCUAACUACGUG